CCUACGGGGAGCAGCAGUGGGGAAUAUUGCACAAUGGGGGAAACCCUGAUGCAGCGACGCCGCGUGAGUGAAGAAGUAUUUCGGUAUGUAAAGCUCUAUCAGCAGGGAAGAAAAUGACGGUACCUGAUUAAGAAGCACCGACUAACUACGUGCCAGCAGCCGCGGGAAUACGUAGGGGGCAAGCGUUAUCCGGAUUUACUGGGUGUAAAGGGAGCGUAGACGGCAGCACAAGUCUGUAGUGAAAUGCCGGGGCUUAACCCCGGAACUGCUUUGGAAACUGUGCAGCUAGAGUGCAGGAGAGGUAAGUGGAAUUCCUAGUGGAGCGGUGAAAUGCGUAGAUAUUAGGAGGAACACCAGUGGCGAAGGCGGCUUACUGGACUGUAACUGACGUUGAGGCUCGAAAGCGUGGGGAGCAAACAGGAUUAGAUACCCGUGUAGUC
rnacentral:rRNA from 1 species